rnacentral:rRNA from 1 species
ACGCUCGACACCUACGGGAGGGCAGCAGUGGGGAAUAUUGCACAAUGGGGGAAACCCUGAUGCAGCGACGCCGCGUGAGCGAAGAAGUAUUUCGGUAUGUAAAGCUCUAUCAGCAGGGAAGAAACUGACGGUACCUGACUAAGAAGCACCGGCUAAAUACGUGCCUGCAGCCGCGGUAAUCUGAGCGGGCUGGCAAGGC